CCUACGGGAGGCAGCAGUGAGGAAUAUUGGUCAAUGGACGAGAGUCUGAACCAGCCAAGUAGCGUGAAGGAUGACUGCCCUAUGGGUUGUAAACUUCUUUUAUAUGGGAAUAAAAUGUUCCACGUGUGGGUUUUUGUAUGUACCAUAUGAAUAAGGAUCGGCUAAGUCCGUGCCAGCAGCCGCGGUAAUACGGAGGAUCCGAGCGUUAUCCGGAUUUAUUGGGUUUAAAGGGAGCGUAGGUGGAUUGUUAAGUCAGUUGUGAAAGUUUGCGGCUCAACCGUAAAAUUGCAGUUGAAACUGGCAGUCUUGAGUACAGUAGAGGUGGGCGGAAUUCGUGGUGUAGCGGUGAAAUGCUUAGAUAUCACGAAGAACUCCGAUUGCGAAGGCAGCUCACUGGACUGCAACUGACACUGAGGCUCGAAAGUGUGGGUAUCAAACAGGAUUAGAUACCCCAGUAGUC
rnacentral:rRNA from 1 species